GAAAACUGAGCUCCACCAGUGCUACUCAUAAAGCACUCUGAACAUGGCAUGUUUUCAUCUUUCAUAAGUUACAACUUAAAAACCUCAUCAUUACACUGAACAUGUGUUAUGAAUCCCACCCCCCUCCUGGAUUUGGAUUUUCCCCCACACCUAUUGCUUGUUGUGUUUGCAUGUCUUUUGUUUCGUUCUGCUGAGAAAACUGAGGAACCUAAACUCACUCUUACUUUGAAGGAAGCUGGCAGUAAUGAUGUGAAGAGGAGGAGAUUAGAACCCUGUACAGCUCAGACUGAACAGAGACCAGCAUACAGCCUUCAGAAGAGCAGCUGCAGUUCAGCCUUUAAACCUGCCUGUUUCUGUGAUCAUGAUGUUCUUCAUGAUGUUCAUGUUGUCUGUUAAAGGUAACAGAGCUGCAGAUGUAAUCACUCCAUACACUGCAGCUGUGUUCACCAAUGAGGGUGAAAGUGCUACACUCUCUUGUAAUUACAGCGGUUCUGUUAGAAGUCUUUACUGGUAUCUCCAGAAUUCAGCAUCAUCUCCACAGUUCCUCAUAGCAGACUAUUCACCUCCUGUUACUGGAAUAUCAGUCAAACACAGAAAAGAAGCCACCAGUGUGGAUCUGAUCAUCUCCUCUGCUGCAGUAUCAGACUCUGCACUUUACUACUGUGCCCUGGAGCCCACAACCGACAUCCCUCACUCUGUCCAGAACUCCAACUCCCAGAAGUCUCUGGGAGUUCACAUGAUCAGGAACCCUCAGCCAUCCAUCUACCAACAUUCACGCUCACCUGAGUGUUGA